AGUGAACGCUGGCGGUAGGCCUAACACAUGCAAGUCGAACGGCAGCACAGUAAGAGCUUGCUCUUACGGGUUGCGAGUGGCGGACGGGUGAGGAAUACAUCGGAAUCUACUUUUUCGUGGGGGAUAACGUAGGGAAACUUACGCUAAUACCGCAUACGACCUACGGUUGAAAGCAGGGGAUCUUCGGACCUUGCGCGAUUGAAUGAGCCGAUGUCGGAUUAGCUAGUUGGCGGGGUAAAGGCCCACCAAGGCGACGAUCCGUAGCUGGUCUGAGAGGAUGAUCAGCCACACUGGAACUGAGACACGGUCCAGACGCCUACGGGAGGCAGCAGUGGGGAAUAUUGGACAAAGGGCGCAAGCCUGAUCCAGCCAUACCGCGUGGGUGAAGAAGGCCUUCGGGUUGUAAAGCCCUUUUGUUGGGAAAGAAAAGCAGCAGGUUAAUACCCCGCUGUUCUGACGGUACCCAAAGAAUAAGCACCGGCUAACUUCGUG
rnacentral:rRNA from 1 species